ensembl:lncRNA
GUGGUAGUACAGGUCAGUAGUACAGGUCAGUAGUACAGGUCAGUAGUGGUAGUACAGGUCAUUAGUACAGGUCAGUAGUACAGGUCAGUAGUACAGGUCAGUAGUACAGGUCAGUUGUACAGGUCAGUAGUGGUAGUACAGGUCAGUAGUGGUAGUACAGGUCAGUAGUACAGGUCAGUAGUACAGGUCAGUAGUGGUAGAACAGGUCAGUAGUACAGGCCAGUAGUGGUAGUACAGGUCAGUAGUACAGGUCAGUAGUACAGGUCAGUAGUACAGGUCAGUAGUAGUAGUGCAGGUCAGUGGUACAGGUCAG